UUAACUAUUAUAUAGUACUCAGACGACACUAACAUUCAGAAUUUGGGGUCCUCUGGCAGGCGCGAUCCAGCGUAUGCCGGUGCCCGAAGGCGGCCUGCCAAAGCAACAAAGAUAUAAUAUACAAGGGUGGGGUUUCUACCCGUGAGGGCAGGAACUCUUGUAAUGAUCCUUCCGCAGGUUCACCUACGGAAA
rnacentral:misc_RNA from 1 species